rfam:Treponema sp. GWC1_61_84 gwc1_scaffold_1349, whole genome shotgun sequence.
GCCAUCUUAGCUCAGUCGGCUAGAGCGCGUGACUUGUAAUCUCGAGGUCCCCGGUUCGACUCCGGGAGAUGGCU